UUUUUUUUUUUUUUUUUUUAAGUGGAAAAUGUUAUACCAUUGUUUGUAUUUAAGUCAUGUGUUGUAAGUCUAGCCAAAUCUAAAUAGGUAUAGGACAGGGGAAGAAAGAUUUCUCAGUAUUCCGUUGGAGUAGAAUCAUGGGCCACUCUUCAGUUUAGCUUUGUGUAUUCAUGGAUAAUAGCUAUUAAAUCUAUCUUUAAAUUCCAAAGAAAUAUGUAGGGGGAAAUCCCAAAAAUAAAUUAUACCAGUUACAAAAUUAUCGGUAAAUUGAAAUGUCAUGUGACAUAUGGGAAUUAUCUAUAGAUUGUUUUAACGAUUUCAAGUAGAAUGAUUUCAGCAAACGCCUAAUCCCAACAAGAUCAAGCUGCAGCUACCGUUAUCAAUGGGAUGAGUUGGAAUAAUUAAUAUAUAUAUUAUAUUUAAAUUAUUUCUUGUACCUGUGCCAAGGUAGUCUUUCUAUCUGUUUAUCUAUUACAGGAAAGUAACAUUUCUCCAACAAAAUAUUACCAAAUUGGACUUCAAAGUAACGUAGAAUUUGUUUGAUUCUGUAGGGAAAAGAAGAAUUAGGAAGAGAGAUAUCGAAUUAGAUUAAAUAGGAGAUAAAAUAUUAAUAAAGAACGACUACUGACGUGUUAAUUACGUACAAAGGGUGAAAGGGUCCUGGUCAAGUACUUCAGGUGAGACAAUAAAACGUCAAUAAUUACUUGGGAAAGGGCAAUGGAUAAUAAAAUUGGACAACAAUUGCAAUGUUAGAAAUGGCGAAUAUUCGAUUGGGAAAAGACCAGUGGUGAGCAAGAUCAAGGUGAUGAUCGUGGAAAAAAUGAUUCUGGAUGUGGUAGAAGAUGUCAUUGCGGAUUUGGAGCCAUAUGAAAGUUGGAUCUAUGGUUAUAGACAGUCAAAUCUUAAAAAGAAGAUUGAAUCAUUGAUGGAACCACACAAGCAAAUUUCAGUGGAUAAGAUGGCAAGUUCUGCUCGAACGGAAGAAAAUCGUUUUUGGAUUAUGCUACGAGCCAGGAGGGCUAUACGGGAGUGAGGUCGAAUCCUGAUGGACCGUAAAUCAAGAAAAGACAAGGUUGUCUUUCCCUCAAGAAGGAAGCAUUUGUAUUAUCAUGGGAACAGGAUCUAUAUUCACCUAACAUAUCGUCUGUUAUUAUUAUUACUAUAUGUAUGUGUAUAUAACUAAUUUAUUUUUGUAAUAUAAGUAAUAUAUAUAUAAGGGUAUGUCAGUCUUUGUAUUUUUAAGUGAUGAUUAUAACUUAAAGUGGCCGGUUUAAUGUUAAA
rnacentral:lncRNA from 1 species